rnacentral:rRNA from 1 species
CCUACGGGGGGCAGCAGUGGGGAAUAUUGGGCAAUGGGCGCAAGCCUGACCCAGCAACGCCGCGUGAAGGAAGAAGGCUUUCGGGUUGUAAACUUCUUUUGUCAGGGAAGAGUAGAAGACGGUACCUGACGAAUAAGCCAUGGCUAACGCCGUGCCAGCAGCCGCGGUAAUACGGAGGAUGCGAGCGUUAUCCGGAUUUAUUGGGUUUAAAGGGUGCGUAGGCGGUCCGUUAAGUCAGCGGUAAAAUUGCGGGGCUCAACCCCGUCGAGCCGUUGAAACUGGCAGACUUGAGUGGGCGAGAAGUACGCGGAAUGCGCGGUGUAGCGGUGAAAUGCAUAGAUAUCGCGCAGAACUCCGAUUGCGAAGGCAGCGUACCGGCGCCAGACUGACGCUGAGGCACGAAAGCGUGGGGAUCGAACAGGAUUAGAUACCCUGGUAGUC